AGAGCGAACGCUGGCGGCAGGCCUAAAACAUGCAAGUCGAACGGACCCUUCGGGGUUAGUGGCGGACGGGUGAGUAACACGUGGGAACGUGCCUUUUGGUUCAGAACAACUCAGGGAAACUUGAGCUAAUACUGAAUAAGCCCUACGGGGGAAAGAUUUAUCGCCAUUAGAGCGGCCCGCGUUGGAUUAGCUAGUUGGUGAGGUAAAGGCUCACCAAGGCUACGAUCCAUAGCUGGUCUGAGAGGAUGAUCAGCCACACUGGGACUGAGACACGGCCCAGACUCCUACGGGAGGCAGCAGUUAGGAAUCUUGCGCAAUGGGCGAAAGCCUGACGCAGCCAUGCCGCGUGAAUGAUGAAGGUCUAGGAUUGUAAAAUUCUUUCAGCGGGGAAGAUAAUGACUGUACCCGCAGAAGAAGCUCCGGCUAACUCGUGCCAGCAGCCGC
rnacentral:rRNA from 1 species